GGGUUCUACUGUCUCCUUUUUUUAAUCAGUGAAACUAAUCUCCCCGUGAAGAAGCGGGGAUAUUCUUAUAAGACGAGAAGACCCCAUGGAGCUUUAAACCCAACUAUAUACCUAACUAUUAUAACCACUUAAUCCCUUAGCACUAAUAUACUUGGUUUUAGGUUGGGGCGACCACGGAGUAUAACUAAACCUCCACAAUGAACGAAACAACCCUUCUUAUCUGAGAAUUACACCUCUAAGAAUUAGCACACUAACAUAAAAUGACCCAUUAUUGAUCAACGAACCAAGUUACCCUGGGGAUAACAGCGCAAUCCAUUUUAAGAGCCCCUAUCGACAAAUGGG
rnacentral:rRNA from 1 species